rnacentral:misc_RNA from 1 species
UUAUGUCCAGAGCUUCACACAUGCUACAAUGGCGCGUACAGAGGGCUGCGAUACCGUGAGGUGGAGCGAAUCCCUUAAAGCGCGUCUCAGUUCGGAUUGGGGUCUGCAACUCGACCCCAUGAAGUCGGAGUCGCUAGUAAUCGCAGAUCAGCAACGCUGCGGUGAAUACGUUCCCGGGCCUUGUACACACCGCCCGUCACGUCAUGAAAGUCGGUAACACCCGAAGCCGGUGGCCUAACCCCUUGUGGGAGGGAGCUGUCGAAGGUGGGAUUGGCGAUUGGGACGAAGUCGUAACAAGGUAGCCGUACCGGAAGGUGCGGCUGGAUCACCUCCUUUCUAAGGAGCAUUUAGUGCCGUUUCAAACCCGACUGUGGUUUGGCGGUCGCUCAUAUUAUUGGGUGGAACACUGACACGGUAGUUCUUAUUGCCUGCUGGGCCGGCUUGUCCGGUUGGUGGGGUUUCGUCGGCACACUGUUGGGUGUCUGAGAGGACACGUCCUUUCUGUUGCUGCUGCGCGUCAGCGCUCACGUACCACGGCCUUUCGGGGUGUGGGUGGGUGGCCGUGUGGUGGUGUUUUUUGUUUGAGAAUUGUAUAGUGGACGCGAGCCUCAACCCAGAAGCCGGAUCGUUUGUAUCUGGUGGAGUGGUUUUUGUUUCUGUAAUUUUACAUGUUUCUGUGUAAGCAUUUUGUUGUGUUUUUUGGCGCUUGAUGUCAUGAAGGGCGCAUCGGAUUUGUGAUGGCUUCGGUUGUUUCGGGUUUGGUGUGUGUUUUGUGUGUUGUAAGUGUCUAAGGGCGCACGGUGGAUGCCUUGGCGCAAGGAGCCGAUGAAGGACGUGGGAGGCUGCGAUAUG